rnacentral:pre_miRNA from 1 species
UUUGUACUUCAUUAGGUGCUCUGGUGUGUGGGAUCCAGGCAUCUCAUGGAGUGCAAAUG